rnacentral:rRNA from 1 species
CCUACGGGUGGCAGCAGUGGGGGAUAUUGCACAAUGGGCGAAAGCCUGAUGCAGCGACGCCGCGUGAAGGAAGAAGUAUUUCGGUAUGUAAACUUCUAUCAGCAGGGAAGAAAAUGACGGUACCUGACUAAGAAGCCCUGGCUAAAUACGUGCCAGCAGCCGCGGUAAUACGUAUGGGGCAAGCGUUAUCCGGAUUUACUGGGCGUACAGGGAGCGUAGGCGGCAUGGCAAGUCUGAUGUGAAAGACCGGGGCUUAACUCCGGGGUUGCAUUGGAAACUUUCAAGCUAGAGUGUCGGAGAGGUAAGCGGAAUUCCUGGUGUAGUGGUGAAAUGCGUAGAUAUUAGGAGGAACAUCGGUGGCGAAGGCGGCUUACUGGACGAUAACUGACGCUCAGGCUCGAAAGCGUGGGGAGCAAACAGGAUUAGAUACCCUAGUAGUC